GUGCCAUUAGUAGACGGGGUGACAUUUAAGGGCCCCAGAUAUAUUUAGCAAAUGCUGUGGCUCAGGUGGGAGCCAGCCUACUGUUUCCUGUUGCCGACAUUUGAGAGCUGUACUUAAAAAAAGACCCCAGGCUUCUUUCAGGCUCAAAGAAAGGAAAGGAUAUAUAUUAGAGACAUCGCCCAGUCAUUCUCCAGCAAUACAUCAUAGUCCUCAGACCUCCCAGUGCUUUUUACUAUCAGUUUUCCGCAUUGUCAAAGGUGCAAUGAUUCUAUAGACAACAGAGGCUCAUUGACGUCAAUGCAGGCUGAUCAGCAUGCAGCGCAUGAAGUGGGUCAGCACUGAUAAUUCAGCCCCGCCAGAGCUGCGCUCUACCUUUCCAUUGUUGGAGAUUCCUGCUCAGUUGCUGCCUGUAACUCCUUCGUUUCAAGGUAAUAUUGGAGAUCUCCAUAUGCAAGGGAGCGGAUGAAGACUUGCAGGACAGAUGCCAUGAGGGGCCUGAGUGUUGUCACCACCAUAUUCUGUAGAAAAUACAUCUCGCAGCUGGUUCAGCUACACAAGCGUGCCUCUUAAAUUGUAUCACGUAGGGAAGGACUGAGUAAAUCAGAAGUGUUU